GGGCUGAGUUUUUACAUGACAAAGUUUUUAACGAGGCAGCGGCGAAAGUCGCUGUACUCUUUUCUUUGUCAUGGUUUUCUCAGCCC
rnacentral:misc_RNA from 1 species